rnacentral:rRNA from 1 species
UACGAAGGGGGCUAGCGUUGCUCGGAAUCGCUGGGCGUAAAGCGCACGUAGGCGGAUUGCUAAGUCAGGGGUGAAAUCCUGGAGCUCAACUCCAGAACUGCCUUUGAUACUGGCGACCUUGAGUCCGGGAGAGGUGAGUGGAACUGCGAGUGUAGAGGUGAAAUUCGUAGAUAUUCGCAAGAACACCAGUGGCGAAGGCGGCUCACUGGCCCGGUACUGACGCUGAGGUGCGAAAGCGUGGGGAGCAAACAGG